GCAUCAUCUUAUUUCCAAAAUCUGUUCUCCCCCACAUUCCAUGUCUGUGUCAAUUGCACAACUAUUCACCCACUUGCCAAGCUAGAACCCUGGCAGUUGAUUGAUUCUUCUCUUUCUCUUUCUGUUCCUAUAUCCAAACUGUCUCUAAGGCCCAUAAAUUCAGUGGAAUCCUUUGACCUGAGCUCUUGAGCUUAACAGGAGCUCUUUAAAGAAAGACCUCACACACACUCAUUCUAGCACUUUAUUGGAAACUGGCUGUGCACAUCAAUGAAAACAGAUCAAAGUAAAGGCAUCAUUUUUACACAAUAAUAUCCUGAUAUCGGUGCUAUCUUCUAACAUAAUUUAAUAAAUCCCAGGAUGCUCCUGAUUUUGGUCAAAGAGCUUGGAUGGUCCAGAAAUCUCUCUAUAUAAAUAUAAAUUAUAGCAUCUAAAAUAACCAUCAUUGUUUUGAGUUAGUUCCAAAAGUCCUGGGAACAUGUCUUAAAAUGCAAGUCUGUACCUUGGACUGGCGGCAGUGCUGGUGGGAGGGAGUGAAGGGAUACACGUUACACCAUGGAGCUAAUUAUAGCAGGAGCCGGGGCAGAGCUCCUCUAUGUGGGGCAUACAGGGGGAUGGGGCCUGGAGAUCCCGAGAGCUGCCCAGGGAACUGAGCCACCCUGCAUUUUCCAACGUUGCUUGAGUGUCACAGCUAUGAGACUCCAGUGCAGAAAGAAGCCCAUCGCCCCAGCUUCCUCGGCAUUGCUAAGAAAUGGCAGAGCCCUCCUCCAGAUUGCAUAGGGGCAGAGACUGUAGCACAGAGAAAGUCUCAGGAAGUUCCACCCAUCUCCCUUCCCCUGCCAUGCUCGAGUACCUCCCAAAUUAGGAAACUUGAGGGAGUGACACUCAAAGAAGACCACUUUUGAGCCAAUGCAUUGCUGGCGCCUUGGAAUGAAGACAGGGUGGAUUUGCUUGGUUUGACCCAAGGAGCAUGGGCACAGGCUGCUCUGACCCCACUGUCUCCCUCACCACCUUGAAAGCCAUCAUCAGCAGUUAGAUCCUUUGGUUCUUGAGAGCUUCUCGGCACUCAGCAACAACACCUACAUAUCUGUGGUGACUUAACUGCUCACAAACAGCUUUAACCUCCACUAAGUCACUGGUUCUCACAAACCUAUGAGGUAGGAAGGGGAGGGAUCAUAAUCCCCAUUUAAAAGAUAAGGAACCUGGAACUCACAGAACUAGGUCCCUUGACCACACAGCUGGCCAGUGGCAGAAUCAAAAUCAGAACUCAGGUCUCCCCUCGCAUAUCAAGCUCCAGAGUCCACACACCAAAGUCCCUCCUGCUGCCUUUCUGAGAAAGGGGAAGAGGCAUGGGAAGGGGAUGCUGUCCUCAUCCCUCACCUGCCCCUCCUGGGAGGUUCUCAGACAGCCCCAUUGAGGACAGGAUGAGUCCGCAUGCGAUAGAUGAUGACAGCAGUGGCUGGGCACAGCAACAACGAGGUCAUGAUGACAAUGGUGGCCAGGAUGAUGAGGACAAUAACCCAGAUAUCCAGAAUGGCUCUGGGACAAGCGGCCGCCAGGGACCGCCCCAAAAGCCCCGGCCCCCGGCCGCCGCCGCAAUUCUGCUCAGCUCCUCCUCCAGCCUCCCCCGCACCCUGCGGGUGAGCAAGAGGCCAGCAAGGGAAGGGAGAAACUGGGGCGUCUCAGGUUCCCCUCGCAGCCUGUCACGCGCUCGCCGCCUACCCCUGGGCAGAUCGCUUCGCCUGUCGGGGGUCUUCGCACCGAGAAGGUUGACCUAAAAUGUGUCCUCCAAGAUCCUUUCCAGCUGUAGUCUACACAUGGGAAAGUCUAGCCAUUGGGUUUGGAUGGAGGAGCCGGCACUCAGGGUACCUGCUUUGCAGUGUACUGAGUGUGGACUCCUUAACAAGAGGCUUCCCCAUCCUGCCUCUGUUUCGUUCUCUUUAAAGUGGGGGUAAUAACGCUUAAACGGUAAACAGCGGUUGAUGAUUAAGUACCUAGGAACUAAAGUUUUUUUCCUUUUUUGCAAUUACUGAUUAUAGCCUUUAGCCAUUGUUGACUGUGCUGCUUAGGCACUAUGCUAUCUGACUCCCACUAGGCGCCUAUAGAUAACAUCUCCCUGGAGCCUGAGUCACCAUGGUAAUGGGUAUGUGAGCUGUUUCUCAGGAAUUAGAACUCCUGGUCCACUUCAGGCUGGUUGAGACCACCAACUCAUCAACCAGGCCCACGCAGAUGUCCGAUAGGCGACCUUCUGACAAUAGACUAAAAACUCCCCCCUCAGAUCGUGCUAACACUGCCAUUUUGUGAACAUGCGUCCUGUGAAGAGGCAUGAAGUCUGACUACGCUUGCGCAGAUCAUCAAUUACCUCACCUCUCCUCACCUCCAAUCACCUCUCUCCACAUUUCAGACCACCUUGCCCUGCCACCCUAUAAAUAUCCCUGAGUCCUUAUUUUCAGGGAAGCAGAUUUGAGACUCAUUCUCCCAUUUUAUCACUUGGCUGGCUUGUGAUUAAACCUUCUCUCUGCUGCAAUCUCGUUGUCUCGGUGUUUGGCUUUCCCCGCCACAGACG
rnacentral:lncRNA from 1 species